UUACUUACCUUGCAGGGAAGACACCAUAAUCACAAAGGUGGUUUUCCCUGGGCGAGGCUUAUCCUUUGACCUCCAGAUGUACUGACCCCUGAGAUAUUCCCAAGUGUGGGCAACUUAAUUGCUUAAUUUGUGGUAAUAGGGGACUGCAUUUGUGCUCUCCCCUG